AAGGUAAGCAUGCAUGAUUCCCUCAGGAUGGAGCCAGAUAAGUAUGGACCAUUCAUUCAGGAUGCAGCCAGGUCAGAAUGAACCAUUAUUUCAGGAUAAAGCCAGGUGAGCAUGGACCAUUUCUUCAUGAGGCAGCCAGGUAAGCACAGACUUUUCCUUCAGGAUACAGCCAGGUAAAUGUGAACAAUUCCUUUAGGUUGGAGCUGGAUAAGCAUUAACAAUAUUUUUCAGAAUGCUGCCAGGUAAGCAUGAACCAUUCCUUCAGGAUGAAGCCAGGUAAGUGUGGACCAUUUUUUGAGGAUACAGCCAUAGGUAAGCGUGAACCAUUCCUUCAGGAUGGACUCAGGUAAGCAUGGACAAUUCCUUCAGGAUGGAGCCAGGUAAGUGUGCACAAUUCCUUCAGGAUGGAGCCAGGUAAGUGUGCACAAUUCCUUCAGGAUGCAGCCAGGUAAGUGUGCACAAUUCCUUCGGGAUGGAGCCACGUUAGCAUGAACCACGUUUUCCAGACUGUAGCCAGGUAAGCAUGUACCAUUAUUUCAGGAUGCAGCCAGGUAAGUAUGAACCAUGUUUUUCAGACUCUAGCCAGAUAAGUAUGGACCAUUCUUUCAGGAUGCAGCCAGGUAAGCAUGGACCAUGCUUUCAGAUGGAGUCAGGUAAGCAUGUACCAUUCCUUUACAAUGCAGCCAGGUAAGUGCGGACUAUUCCCUCAGGAUGGAGCCAGGUAAGUGUGAACCAUUCUGUCAGGAUGCAGCCAGGUAAGCAUGGACCAUUCUGUCAGGAUGUAGCCUGGUAAGCAUGAAUCAUUCUUAGGGAUGGAGUCAGAUAAGCACACCCCAUUCCUUCAGAAUGCAGCUAGGUAAGCGUGGACCAUUCCUUCAAGAUGGUGCCAGGUAAGUGUGGACCAUUCCUUCAGAAUGCAGCCAGGUAUGCAGAGACCAUUUUUUCAGGAUGCAGGCAAGAAAGUACAAACCAUUCCUUCAGGAUGCAGCCAGGUAAGUGUGCACAGUUUCUUCAGGAUGGAGCCAGAGGUAAGCAUGAACCAUUCCUUCAGAAUGCAUCCAGGUAAGCAUGGACCAGUUUUUAAGGAUACAGUCAGGUAAGUAUGAUACAUACCUUCAGGAUACAGCCAGGUAAGCAUGAACAAUUCCUUCAGGAUGCCACCAGGUAAGCAUGAACCAUUUCAUCAGGAUGGAGCCAGAUAAGCAUGAACAAUUCCAUCAGGAUGGAGCAAGGUAAAUGUGGACCCAUUCUUUCAGGAUGGAGCCAGGUAAGCAUGGACCCUUUCCUCAGGAUGGAGCAAGGUAAGCAUUGACCAUUCCUUCAGGAUUCAGCCAGUUAAGCAGGGACCAUUCCUUCAGAAUGAAGCUAGGUAAUAAUGGACCAUUCAUUCAGGAUGCAUCCUGGUAAGCAUGAAUUAUUCCUUCAGGAUGCAACCAGGUAAGUAUGAACCAUUCCUUCAAGAUGGAGGCAGGUAGGCAUGGACCACUACUUCAGGAUGCAGGCAGGUAAGGUGGACCAUUCCUUCAGUGUGGAGCCAGGUAAGUGUGGACCAUUUCUUCAGGAUGGUGCCAGGUAAUCAUGGACCAUUCUUUCAGGAUACAGCCAGGAAAGGGUGGACCACUUUUUAAGGAUACAGCCACGUAAAUACGAUACAUACUUUCAGGAUAAAGCCAGGUAAGCAUGAACAAUUCCUUCAGAAUGCAGACAUGUAGGCAGAGAGCAACCCUUCAGGUUGGAGCCAGGUAAACAUGAACCAUUCCUCCAUGAUGAAGCCAGUUAAGCAUAGGCAAUUCCUUUAGGAUGGAGCCAGGUAAGCAUGGGCCAUUCUUUCAUGAUGCAGUCAGGUAAGCAUGAACCAUUCCUUCAAGAUGGAGCCAGCUAGGCAUGGACCAUUCCUUCAUGAUGCAGCCAGGUAAGCAUGAACCAUUACUUCACCAUGGAGUGAGGUAAACACGAACCGUUCCUUCAGGAUGAAUCCUGAUAAGUAUGGACCUUUCUUUUAGUGUGUAGCCUCAUAAGAGUGGACCACUCCUUCAGGAUGGACCCAGGUAAGUGUCAACCAUUCCUUCCUAAUGCAGCAUGGUAAGCAUGGAUCACUCAUUCAGGAUGCAGCCAGGUAAGCACAAAACAUUCUUUCUGGACGGAGCCAGGUAAGCGUGGACCAUUCUGUCAGGAUGCAGCCAGGUAAGCAUGGACCAUUCCGUCAGGAUGCAGCCAGGUAAGCAUGAACCAUUUCUUCAGGAUGGAGUCAGAUAAGCAUGUACCAUUUUUUCAGAAUGCAGCCAGGUAACUGUGGACGAUUCCCUCAGGAUGGGCCCAGGUAAGCAUGGACCAUUCCCUCAGCAUGGAGCCAGGUAAGCUUGCACCAUUCCUUAAGAAUGGAUCCAUGUAAGCAUAAACCAUUUCAUCAGGAUGCAGCCAGGUAAGCAUGAACCAUUCUGUCAGGAUACAGCCAGGUAAGAGUGGACCAUUCUGUCAGGAUACAGCCAGGUAAGCAUGGACCAUUCUUUCAGAUGGUGUCGGGUAAGCAUGAACCAUUUUUUCAGGAUGCAGUCAGAAACUAUGAACCAUCCCCUCAGGAUGGAGCCAGGUAAGCAUGGACCAUUCCUUCAGGAUAGUGCCAGGUAGAUGUGGAUCUUUCCCACAGGACGGAGCCAGGUAAGCAUGGACCAUUCCUUCAGGAUGCAGCCAGGUAAGCAUGGACCAUUCCUUCAGGAUAGUGUGAGGUAGGUGUGGACCUUUCCUUCAGGAUGGAGCCAGGUAAGUGUAGACCAUUCCAUCAGGAUGCAACUUGGUAAGCAUGAGCCAUUUCUUAAGGAUGGAGUCAGAUAAGCAUGUACCAUUCCUUCUGAAUGCAGCCAGAUAAGUGUGGGCCAUUCCUUCAGGAUGCAGCCAGGUAACCAUGGACCAUUCCUUCUGGAUGGAGGUAGGUAUGUAUGCACCUUUUUCUCAGGGUGGAGCUCCUGGAUGCAGCCAGGUAAGCGUGGACCGUUCCUUCAAGAUGGAGCCAUCAAACAUGCAGAUAACCCCACAGCACCCUUGCUCCAGUUGACUGGGUUUGGUAACAUGGUGGCAAAACCAAAAACUUGUAAACCAGUAGAAAAAUGUUUUUUAGCUCAUGAGUCCUCUUCGGGCCAAGCUCAGAAGCUGGUGCCAUUGGUCAGCCUCCCUUCGUGGUUGGAGUUCUUCUCCCACAUCAGCUUCUGCCAGGGCGUGUGCCUGUGCGGCCCGAGUCCCGUGUUCCUGUGAGCUGAACUUGGCAGGGAAGGCUGCUCUGAGGCAGACACCACAGCAACAUCGGUGCCUGGGGAACUUCAGAUCCAAGGGCACCUGAAGACCUGGUUCCCACCCGGCUCCCUUCUCCUGUAACCCACCACGAUGUGGGCGGCCUCGAAGAAGGCCCACGAGCAACACACCGAGUGCUCCAGGGAAGCAAGAGCACACACCAGGCAGGAUUCACAAUCAAGACAAGGUGAUGACGGACAGGCAUGCACACACGAGCACGUGGAACACACAGUGUGUCUGGCUGCAGGAGAAGAAUCCAGUUUUCAGCAGGUGAAUGCAGAGAAGCCCUGCUGCUCAGGACAAAGAAUGUUUCCGGAAUGAACCAUGUUUGCAGCCCUCCAUUGCCCAGGAUGAACGGCGUCCCCAGGUGCCUGGCCCUUUUAUCACCCAGGCCGAUGGUACAUCCAGAGGGAGCCGUGGCUCAGCCCCCAAGUGAGGCCAGCAAUGGCCAGGAAGAAGCUUAUUCAACGGGAUUCUCUGCAGAGUUUUUCUGACUUUCAGCUUGCAGGGAUGUGGGUAUAGAAAACAAGAGGCUGACUUCUCAAUCAAUCAUCACUUAAGGAUGCAGAGCCAGUGGAAGCCCUUCUUUCAUGACUUUUAGCAUUUUUUCUUCAUUUUCAGAAAAUCCACACCAUCUCCGUAUAUGCGUGCAUGCAUGAGUGUCCGUCUGCCCCUUAACUGUGGGGUUAAGAAUAAUGUGAUUACUCAUGCUGGAAAAACAAGACAAUUACCAUCAUAAAAGCCCACAUAAUUUACAGAUCUUGGAACUUGAACUUUCUUUAAAAGAUAAAUAUAGUAGUUUACAUUUUG
rnacentral:lncRNA from 1 species